UUGGGACUGUCCCUUCCUGAGGGACACACACAUCCAUCAUCUGUGGAGAGUCAGGUUUGGGACUGUCCCUUCCUGAGGGACACACACACACCUCCAUCACCUCUGGAGUGUCAGGGCUUGGGACACCAGGAUCAGCUGGCACAGCCCCCGUGGAGGGCAAAGGAGUGGCACCAGAGUGCCUCAGUGACCCCUGGCACCCUGAGCUAGUCACUGAACUGGGGAGGGAUGGGAUGCGUGAUGGCAGUUACUGAACCCCCGAUUUUAUAGAUAUUUUUGACUUUCGAUGUGGGAUUGGGUUUUUUUAUAGGUUAGUGGAGAGGCCAUGAAAUACAGGGAUGGGCUGGAUCUGCUGAAUGGUUGUGAGAAUAAAAAACCUGCUGGGGAGGAACCUCAUCCCUGUUCCCUCCAGCCACAUCUGUGCAGGCAUAGGAACACAACCAGGGCAGUCACAGCUUGUGUUCCACCUGGGGAUGGGAACAGAGGUCACUUUUAUGGACAAAACAUUCCUCUUUCCAGGGGACUGGGUAGUUACUGAAACUCACAACAAUUCUAAUCCUAAACUCAUUUGCUAGAAAUGAGUUAGAAAAAGAUUUAUAGGAAAUUUAAGACUUUUCUCUACAUUGAUGGCUUUAAUUGUACUUACUCUCCCAGGUAUCUGUUAAUAUUUUUAUAAUGAACUUGUGAUGUAUUUGUGUUGUUUGAAUUUUAUACAUUUGUGUCUAUGAAAUAAAAUACAUGUAAAUAUCUCUGAA